rnacentral:rRNA from 1 species
GACGAACGCUGGCGGCGUGCUUAACACAUGCAAGUCGAACGGAAAGGCCCUGCUUUUGUGGGGUGCUCGAGUGGCGAACGGGUGAGUAACACGUGAGUAACCUGCCCUUGACUUUGGGAUAACUUCAGGAAACUGGGGCUAAUACCGGAUAGGAGCUCCUGCUGCAUGGUGGGGGUUGGAAAGUUUCGGCGGUUGGGGAUGGACUCGCGGCUUAUCAGCUUGUUGGUGGGGUAGUGGCUUACCAAGGCUUUGACGGGUAGCCGGCCUGAGAGGGUGACCGGCCACCUUGGGGCUGAGAUACGGCCCAGAAUCCUACGGGAGGCAACAGUGGGGAAUAUUGCACAAUGGGCGGAAGCCUGAUGCAGCAACGCCGCGUGCGGGAUGACGGCCUUCGGGUUGUAAACCGCUUUCGCCUGUGACGAAGCGUGAGUGACGGUAAUGGGUAAAGAAGCACCGGCUAACUACGUG